GGGGGACUGGAGGACUGAGCCGCUGGUUGCAAUUCACAACCUCACCGCUAGAUGCCGCUAAAAUUUACACACUGCACCUUUAAAGCAUAGAGAGCAGUAAAUAUGUUUAGUGGGAAAUUAGUCACAUCAAGUUCCUCUUCAUAAAGCUCACUGUUGACCACCACAGAUCCGCCAUCACCCACUGAGACACGGGUCAAGUGAUAGUAAAUCAGAUUUUGCAGGUGAGAAUCGUGAGAGCCGUAACUAUAGAAACAGAUUUGAGUCGUCACUACCAGCAUCAGACAGCAGAGAGCGCCAGUUCUCUCUAUUUCACACCUCAGCCGACCAAAGGGGUCCACUAGAGGGUCUCAGUUAACCUCCUCGGAUGCCAGAAAAGCAACUUUGUUAUGAUUUUAAUAGAGAUACAAGAGGGAGGAAACCAC
ensembl:lncRNA